UGCUGCUAUAAAAAUUUAGAAUUAGAGUUUUUAUUUUUGCUUUACGUAUUUCUUCUCAAUUUUCGCAAAACUUGCAAAAAUUCUAAAGUACGAACAGGAAUAUUGUUGGCAUAAAUUACGAGGUCCAUAAUGCUGUUGGCGAUUUCCAAUCUCUGCAACAUCUAAUACAUACGUUAAAAUCCCUCGAAGACGGUUCUUCAAAAUCACACGCAGCUUUUCUAUUCAGUAUAUUGUUAGCUUGAUCAUUACAGCUCACAAAAUCUAGACUGGAUACAUUUAUCUGAACGUCAUAUAAAGUGUGUUCAAAGUCUAUGUUGAACAAUUUAUAACAACACAUAGCUGAGUGGGGGAUAGAGCAGAUUGGUAUCCCGAGAAAACAUUGUCAACCGCGGCGAAGCCGAAUAACAAAAAAAAAAAAAAAAGAUAAAUAAGUUGGAAUUUAUAUACAUUUGUUUUUAGAUAUUCACAUCUAUGCACUGUCCGCACUAUAAUAACGGAACAAAACCAACGAUGGAGAAAAAAGUAGGGAUAAUAUGCAACAAACUUUGAAAUAUUCUUUUUGUUGGUCUUUUGCCUAUAAUCUACAUUUAUCCCACAUCUCCUUUCGUGUCAUAUUAAACACACUACUUA
rnacentral:lncRNA from 1 species